GACGAACGCUGGCGGCGUGCUUAACACAUGCAAGUCGAACGGAAAGGCCCUGCUUUUGUGGGGUGCUCGAGUGGCGAACGGGUGAGUAACACGUGAGUAACCUGCCCUUGACUUUGGGAUAACUUCAGGAAACUGGGGCUAAUACCGGACAGUAGCUCCUGCUGCAUGGUGGGGGUUGGAAAGUUUCGGCGGUUGGGGAUGGACUCGCGGCUUAUCAGCUUGUUGGUGGGGUAGUGGCUUACCAAGGCUUUGACGGGUAGCCGGCCCGAGAGGGUGACCGGCCACAUUGGGACUGAGAUACGGCCCAGACUCCUACGGGAGGCAGCAGUGGGGAAUAUUGCACAAUGGGCGGAAGCCUGAUGCAGCAAUGCCGCGUGCGGGAUGACAGCCUUCGGGUUGUAAACCGCUUUCGCCUGUGACGAAGCGUGAGUGACGGUAAUGGGUAAAGAAGCACCGGCUAACUACGUG
rnacentral:rRNA from 1 species